GUGUCACCUUUUUCAGCCCUUCUGAGUUUGCAGGCAUGUAGCAAUCAGGAUUAAGGACAUGCACCUGGGGACCGAUCACUAACGGCAACAGUGGGAGAAGGUGAAACUUGUCCCUUCCGCGCUAUGCCCGAGGAGAGGAGCCAAGCCAGAAGAAGCUGGUCGCCGGGGGAGACCCGUGGACUGUCAUUUUAACCUCCCACUGCUGUUCUGCUGAACAAUUUUAGCUUGAUUUUAGUUGGUUGUGCUUUUUCCUUUAAAUUCUUUUAAGGAGGAAUUUUAAUAAAU